CCGGGUUUGGCGGAAUUGGCAGACGCACCAGACUUAGGAUCUGGCGAGGCAACUCGUGGGGGUUCAAGUCCCUUAACCCGGACCA
rnacentral:tRNA from 4 species